AUCAGAGUUCAAAGCUCGAUGUGAUCAGUUAAAGAAUAUGUUUUAAGUGCAGGUCAUAAAGACGGAUCUGUUCAGAAUUCUAAGGGAAAAGUUGGGUGCCGACCUACCCUCCCUUAUAGAAGACAGAGUUUUCCCAGUUGCUGGUGAUAUAGCUUGUGAUAAUUUGAGGAUAAAUUCUGAGCUGAAAGAUGAGAUGCGCAGAGAAAUCGACUUAUUUGUAAACUCAGCUGCUACAACUAGUUUUGAUGAAAGAUAUGAUACUGCAAUAAGGAUCAAUACACUGGGUGCCUUGAAUA